CUUGAGUCUCGUAGAGGGGGGUAGAAUUCCAGGUGUAGCGGUGAAAUGCGUAGAGAUCUGGAGGAAUACCGGUGGCGAAGGCGGCCCCCUGGACGAAGACUGACGCUCAGGUGCGAAAGCGUGGGGAGCAAACAGGAUUAGAUACCCUGGUAGUCCACGCCGUAAACGAUGUCGACUUGGAGGUUGUGCCCUUGAGGCGUGGCUUCCGGAGCUAACGCGUUAAGUCGACCGCCUGGGGAGUACGGCCGCAAGGUUAAAACUCAAAUGAAUUGACGGGGGCCCGCACAAGCGGUGGAGCAUGUGGUUUAAUUCGAUGCAACGCGAAGAACC
rnacentral:rRNA from 1 species